rnacentral:rRNA from 1 species
GGGUUGUGAGGUUAAGCGACUAAGCGUACACGGUGGAUGCCCUGGCAGUCAGAGGCGAUGAAGGACGUGCUAAUCUGCGAUAAGCGUCGGUAAGGUGAUAUGAACCGUUAUAACCGGCGAUUUCCGAAUGGGGAAACCCAGUGUGUUUCGACACACUAUCAUUAACUGAAUCCAUAGGUUAAUGAGGCGAACCGGGGGAACUGAAACAUCUAAGUACCCCGAGGAAAAGAAAUCAACCGAGAUUCCCCCAGUAGCGGCGAGCGAACGGGGAGCAGCCCAGAGCCUGAAUCAGUGUGUGUGUUAGUGGAAGCGUCUGGAAAGGCGCGCGAUACAGGGUGACAGCCCCGUACACAAAAAUGCACAUGCUGUGAGCUCGAUGAGUAGGGCGGGACACGUGGUAUCCUGUCUGAAUAUGGGGGGACCAUCCUCCAAGGCUAAAUACUCCUGACUGACCGAUAGUGAACCAGUACCGUGAGGGAAAGGCGAAAAGAACCCCGGCGAGGGGAGUGAAAAAGAACCUGAAACCGUGUACGUACAAGCAGUGGGAGCACGCUUAGGCGUGUGACUGCGUACCUUUUGUAUAAUGGGUCAGCGACUUAUAUUCUGUAGCAAGGUUAACCGAAUAGGGGAGCCGAAGGGAAACCGAGUCUUAACUGGGCGUUAAGUUGCAGGGUAUAGACCCGAAACCCGGUGAUCUAGCCAUGGGCAGGUUGAAGGUUGGGUAACACUAACUGGAGGACCGAACCGACUAAUGUUGAAAAAUUAGCGGAUGACUUGUGGCUGGGGGUGAAAGGCCAAUCAAACCGGGAGAUAGCUGGUUCUCCCCGAAAGCUAUUUAGGUAGCGCCUCGUGAAUUCAUCUCCGGGGGUAGAGCACUGUUUCGGCAAGGGGGUCAUCCCGACUUACCAACCCGAUGCAAACUGCGAAUACCGGAGAAUGUUAUCACGGGAGACACACGGCGGGUGCUAACGUCCGUCGUGAAGAGGGAAACAACCCAGACCGCCAGCUAAGGUCCCAAAGUCAUGGUUAAGUGGGAAACGAUGUGGGAAGGCCCAGACAGCCAGGAUGUUGGCUUAGAAGCAGCCAUCAUUUAAAGAAAGCGUAAUAGCUCACUGGUCGAGUCGGCCUGCGCGGAAGAUGUAACGGGGCUAAACCAUGCACCGAAGCUGCGGCAGCGACACUAUGUGUUGUUGGGUAGGGGAGCGUUCUGUAAGCCUGUGAAGGUGUGCUGUGAGGCAUGCUGGAGGUAUCAGAAGUGCGAAUGCUGACAUAAGUAACGAUAAAGCGGGUGAAAAGCCCGCUCGCCGGAAGACCAAGGGUUCCUGUCCAACGUUAAUCGGGGCAGGGUGAGUCGACCCCUAAGGCGAGGCCGAAAGGCGUAGUCGAUGGGAAACAGGUUAAUAUUCCUGUACUUGGUGUUACUGCGAAGGGGGGACGGAGAAGGCUAUGUUGGCCGGGCGACGGUUGUCCCGGUUUAAGCGUGUAGGCUGGUUUUCCAGGCAAAUCCGGAAAAUCAAGGCUGAGGCGUGAUGACGAGGCACUACGGUGCUGAAGCAACAAAUGCCCUGCUUCCAGGAAAAGCCUCUAAGCAUCAGGUAACAUCAAAUCGUACCCCAAACCGACACAGGUGGUCAGGUAGAGAAUACCAAGGCGCUUGAGAGAACUCGGGUGAAGGAACUAGGCAAAAUGGUGCCGUAACUUCGGGAGAAGGCACGCUGAUAUGUAGGUGAGGUCCCUCGCGGAUGGAGCUGAAAUCAGUCGAAGAUACCAGCUGGCUGCAACUGUUUAUUAAAAACACAGCACUGUGCAAACACGAAAGUGGACGUAUACGGUGUGACGCCUGCCCGGUGCCGGAAGGUUAAUUGAUGGGGUUAGCGCAAGCGAAGCUCUUGAUCGAAGCCCCGGUAAACGGCGGCCGUAACUAUAACGGUCCUAAGGUAGCGAAAUUCCUUGUCGGGUAAGUUCCGACCUGCACGAAUGGCGUAAUGAUGGCCAGGCUGUCUCCACCCGAGACUCAGUGAAAUUGAACUCGCUGUGAAGAUGCAGUGUACCCGCGGCAAGACGGAAAGACCCCGUGAACCUUUACUAUAGCUUGACACUGAACAUUGAGCCUUGAUGUGUAGGAUAGGUGGGAGGCUUUGAAGUGUGGACGCCAGUCUGCAUGGAGCCGACCUUGAAAUACCACCCUUUAAUGUUUGAUGUUCUAACGUUGACCCGUAAUCCGGGUUGCGGACAGUGUCUGGUGGGUAGUUUGACUGGGGCGGUCUCCUCCUAAAGAGUAACGGAGGAGCACGAAGGUUGGCUAAUCCUGGUCGGACAUCAGGAGGUUAGUGCAAUGGCAUAAGCCAGCUUGACUGCGAGCGUGACGGCGCGAGCAGGUGCGAAAGCAGGUCAUAGUGAUCCGGUGGUUCUGAAUGGAAGGGCCAUCGCUCAACGGAUAAAAGGUACUCCGGGGAUAACAGGCUGAUACCGCCCAAGAGUUCAUAUCGACGGCGGUGUUUGGCACCUCGAUGUCGGCUCAUCACAUCCUGGGGCUGAAGUAGGUCCCAAGGGUAUGGCUGUUCGCCAUUUAAAGUGGUACGCGAGCUGGGUUUAGAACGUCGUGAGACAGUUCGGUCCCUAUCUGCCGUGGGCGCUGGAGAACUGAGGGGGGCUGCUCCUAGUACGAGAGGACCGGAGUGGACGCAUCACUGGUGUUCGGGUUGUCAUGCCAAUGGCACUGCCCGGUAGCUAAAUGCGGAAGAGAUAAGUGCUGAAAGCAUCUAAGCACGAAACUUGCCCCGAGAUGAGUUCUCCCUGACUCCUUGAGAGUCCUGAAGGAACGUUGAAGACGACGACGUUGAUAGGCCGGGUGUGUAAGCGCAGCGAUGCGUUGAGCUAACCGGUACUAAUGAACCGUGAGGCUUAACCUUACAACGCCGAAG